rnacentral:sRNA from 1 species
GCGCAAGGUGCGGGCCCCGCUCGCGGACGCUCGGGGGAGGGAAGCGAAUGGGCUCGGCGAGGGAAAGGACGCCCUGGGCCUUAUCAGAGCCCCCUUGGACCCGCAGGUGGCCGAGGGGCAGGAAUUGAAGGACAAGAGUCGCCUGCGCUAUCCUAUUAACGGCGCAGGUAGCCCCAGUUUCGGCCCUGGCACCUGGGGGGAACUCAGGUGAGAGGUGUCCUGGGGUGGAGAUGGAGGCAGAUUGGGGCGUCUGCCUGUACAUUCACUCUCCAAUGUUCUCCAGGCAAUCCGAUUUACGACUUUUUUCUGGGACGAGAGCUCAACCCUCGUAUCUGUUUCUUCGACUUCAAAUAUUUCUGUGAACUGCGACCCGGCCUCAUCGGCUGGGUCCUCAUCAACCUGGCCCUGUUGAUGAAGGAGGCAGAGCUUCAGGGCAGUCCCUCACUGGCCAUGUGGCUGGUCAAUGGCUUCCAGUUGCUCUACGUGGGUGAUGCCCUCUGGCACGAGGUGAGGCUGGACUGGACGAGGGUGGGUGUCUGAGGGCUGCAUAGGGACUAAGCCAGUGUGUCUGGGUCUUGUCCCUGCAGGAGGCCAUCCUCACCACCAUGGAUAUCACACAUGACGGGUUUGGCUUCAUGCUGGCGUUUGGGGACAUAGCCUGGGUGCCCUUCACCUACAGUCUGCAGGCCCAGUUCCUGCUGCACCACCCGCAGCCCCUGGGGUUGCCCAUGGCCUCUGUCAUCUGCCUCAUCAAUGCUAUUGGUUACUACAUCUUCCGUGGGGCGAAUUCCCAGAAAAACACUUUCCGAAAGAAUCCUUCUGACCCCAGAGUGGCUGGGCUUGAGACCAUCUCUACAGCCACAGGGCGGAAACUGCUGGUGUCUGGGUGGUGGGGUAUGGUCCGCCAUCCCA